rnacentral:rRNA from 1 species
UACGGGAGGCAGCAGUGGGGAAUAUUGCACAAUGGGCGAAAGCCUGAUGCAGCUAUGCCGCGUGUAUGAAGAAGGCCUUAGGGUUGUAAAGUACUUUCAUCGGGGAGGAAAAACAAAACUAAUAAUUUUAAUUUCUUGACGUUACCCGAAAAAGAAGCACCGGCUAACUCCGUGCCAGCAGCCGCGGUAAUACGGAGGGUGCUAGCGUUAAUCAGAAUUACUGGGCGUAAAGAGCACGUAGGUGGUUUUUUUAAAGUCAGAUGUGAAAUCCCUGGGCUUAACCUAGGAACUCGCAUUUUGAAACUGAAAUACUAGAGUAUCGUAGAGGGAGGUAGAAUUCUAGGUGUAGCGGUGAAAUGCGUAGAUAUCUGGAGGAAUACCUGUGGCGAAAGCGGCCUCCUAAACGAAUACUGACACUGAGGUGCGAAAGCGUGGGGAGCAAAACAGGGAUUAGGAUACC